CUCUCUUCCUAGAUCCUGCCAGUCGAAAUUCUGCACCAAUGAAUGCAAGACCAGAGGGAGAAGAUGGCUGGCUCAGAUCCAUUUUCUUCCUAAAAUCCAUUUUAGACAUUAUCAAAUAAUGGUCUGUUCAAUAGGAUGCACAUAGCUCAAGGUUUUCCAUUAUCUGCAGAGACACGUCUCUUAUCCAUGUCAUAGGAAGUUCAGCAAGAAGAAGCAGGAUAAGUCUCUAUUUGAAGAUAUUUCAGUGGAUGAAUUAGUUCUGGCGCAAGAGAAAAUGUCUGCUAUGAACUCUGCAUAGGCAUCAGGAAGGGCAACUGGCCAGUAAAUGAUCAGCUCCAUUCAUUCGCCCCAACUCUACCCUAAAUAAAGGGAUUAAAGGAUUGUAAAAAGAAAAAAAAAUCUUUCCAGAUAGGACAUAAUAAGACCAGUUCCUUGUCAGAUAAAAUAGCAGAACAUCGAAACGAUCAGAACAAAUCAAAUGUACGAUAAGAUAAAUAGUAACAAGGAAGACACGAUAGAUAAGCUUUUCUACCACCCACCAACACAGUAGUUGAUUCCUGUUUAGAUCCCCCUUCUGUCUCUUUCUACCUCUUUUUCCUUCCUAAUGUCUCAUAUGUUCAAUAUCAAAUUGACAAAGCAUUCAAAGGAAAUAUCUUUUCAGCUGUCACAGCGUUAAACAAGCAUUUUUUUUCCUGAAAGCAUCAGAAAUGUGACCGAGAGAGAGUUCGCAUUUCCAAAAGUAGUAACUGCCUUUUCAGCUGAAAGAAUUGCCUUCUGUCAGCAAUAAUGUCACCUCAAAUAUCUUUUGCAAAGCAACUCGUUUGCUGUGACAUUUAUAAUUUAUUCAUCCCAUGAUGUUUGCACCAUCUACAACUUCUUCAAUUCCAUCUUGGAUAUGCCAUUAGCUUUAAAAUGUAUACAUAAGGCAACUGGCUCCUUCUGUUAAAAGUUUAACAGAGAUGCUCUUGCAAGAUUAAAACAAGCAAAAUAACUUUUGAUAUAAUAAAAUCUAAAUAUGGAGGCCAUGUCCAUUGGCAUGUUGAUCCUUAAAUAA